UCUGAUGAAGACCCAAAAUAGUUGAAAGCACUUACAGAGGACAACAAAGGGGCAAGUCAGCCUCUAGUCCAGACCUUGAGUCAUUUUCAUUUUUGAAGAUCCUGUCGUGGAAGAUCCUGUCCCCACGUUUGUUGAUGUUGAAAUCACUUACGAGAGAAGACACCGACCAGCGUAUAAGAUGAUGUCAAAUCUAAAGAUGUUGUGGAUCUUGAGAAGCCUGCCGUUCAUGAUGAUUAUAAAGAUGAAAUUGCUCCUUGUCGUGUGGCCUGUGGAUCCUCGUCCUCGAUUAGAUUUGAGCAAGUACUGUUUGAAGCCGAGCAUCGGUGGCUGAGGCCUUCUGAAAUCUGUGAAAUUCUCCGAAAUUAUCGUAGGUUUCAAAUCACUUCACAGCCUCCAAACAGGCCCCCAAGUGGUUCGCUCUUUCUUUUUGAUCGGAGGGUGUUGAGAUUCUUUAGAAGGGAUGGACAUAAUUGGAGGAAGAAAAGAGAUGGGAGGAUGGUGGUGGAAGCUCAUGAAAAGGUGAAGGUGGGAAGUACUAAUGAUGUGUUACAUUGCUACUAUGCCCAUGGGCAGAAAAUGAAAAAUUUCAGAGGCGAACCUGUUGGAUGCUUAAACUGAAUAUUAAUGACAUAGUUUUGGUCCAAUACUUGGAAGUAAAGGGCAUCAAACAAAAGCGCAGAUCUCCGUCACCAUCAAGCAGUACACAUGCCAUGAGCUCAACGAGUACUUUGUCUUCCUUACAAGACGUUGAUUCAGGAGAUCAACUUCUGGAAGUAAUGGCAAUCAACACAAGCGCAGAUCUCCGUCACCAUCAAGAAGUACACAUGCCAUGAGCUCAACGAGUACUUUGUCUUCCUUACAAGACGUUGAUUCAGGAGAUCACUUCUGGACAUUGGACAGUCACCAAUUCCUAGAACACACAUUAUACCCCACUAGUUCAGCGAGAUUAAAUCCAGAGGAAGCGGUUCAUCUUUCGUACGUUGAGGGCCAAACGGUGCACGGAAUGGCAAUCCUGGGACAUUGUCUUGUGCAAUGUACUGAUAAAUCCCUAAAUCACACUCUGAUCCUUCUCUCUUUCAUCGUUUGCUUCCGUUCCAUUCUGAUCUGUUUUUGAGGAGGUGGGGACAUCACAGUCUUUAUCUUUCUUUCCUAUCCUCUUGCUUUCCUUCUUGCACAUCACGUCUUCAUAAUCAAUCUAGAAUUUACGGGGAAUUGUUUAUCUUGCUAUACUAAUUUGUAAUAGGUUGGAUAAUAGAAGUUGGCUGAGUUUAUCGCUGUGUUA